AUGAAUGAAUGAAUGAAUAAGCAAACCAGAGGGAAUAAAGGGGGGUGGGGCAGGGAGCACAGACAAUGGUCUUUGUCCCCCUGGGGCAAGGCCCUGGCACAACCAGCAGCAGACUGCAGCCAGGGCCCUGGAGGGGGACGGUGGCUCUGUUGGGUGGGAAGGACAGCGUGGCUGAGCCCAUCUCUCUUUCCUGGGUACACGGCCCACUUAAAGCCCGAAUUCUUAAGUCCCACUGCGGUAUUAACAGGAUCUAUGUUAAGUGGGCUGCCCUGGGUUCCUCUUGGAGGAAAUCCACUUUGUACUUAAAUAAAUAAUACAAUAAAUUACGAACAGGAUCUCCAUGCUUCUCUGGGGCAAAAAGACCAGCUUUCUCUUUAAAGCUCACAAAGGACCCUGAAAAAAUAACAUUAUUAGUUUAGUCCCUAAACAGACAAGUACAGGCUCAAGCUGCUGAUAAAGAACACCUGGAAGUACAGGACUCACACCUGGUGGUUCACAAUUACCCUUGGACUUUAAAGGCCUCGGAACAGGUGCAGCUGGCGUGGUAUGGAGGGUCUGGACCCGGGUCCUGGACUCACAACGUGAGCACGGCCAAGACCCCUGGAUGGCCUUUCUCUCGACCAUGGGGGCUACUCUCCUACCCCCACCCCAGGUGACCUGAUCCCCUCCUCCAGCCUCCCCGUGUUUUUCCUCCCCACUCCUGUCAGGCGGCCAUUCCUGGCUUUGAAAUCACAGAUGCUGGCAGCAGGAAGGGCCCUCAGGGACCAGGAAGCCCACUGGUUUCUGAAACAUGCUCUGAUGGGCAGAGGCAGUGACAGGCCCCCUCUCCCACUGGCGCCGUGACAACGGGAGCAGCGCAGCUGUCCCUGAUGGUUGGUCCAUCAGAAAUUUUGUUGGAGAAAUUCCGUGGCUAUAAACACACGUUGUAAGCUCGCUGCCCUCCUCCCCCAAAUUUAUAGAAGGGAAACCAAGGCUGAGACUUAGGUAAUAGGGAAUCCAGUGCUGCGCUUGGGUCAGGCCUCCCUACCCACCAGGCCAGGGGUCUGGUCUCUUCGUUCUGCCUGGGGUCAGUAAGGGAAGGAGAAGCCUUCCAGUGGAGAAGGGAUUGUCCACGUGGUGUGGGAGCCCCGUGUGGGUGGGGGGCUCUCCUGCAGGCACAACCCCACCACUAGAAUCCUGGAUCGUCGGUUAUGCCUUCUGUCCAGCGUAAGGGUGAGAGGCAGGAACGCCUCCAGUUCAGACUCUGGAGGUGUGAGUCUUUGGCUCCUCCAGCCCAGGGGUGUUGGGCGAUUCAGUGUCCUUGUCAGUGUGGUGGGAAGCACGGGCAAGCCCGUCUCUCUCUUCCAAGGCUGAGCGGAUAGAUGAAAGCUGGCCCCAGCCACUGAGCUGGGUGCUCCAAGCUGAGGUGGCAUCUGGACAGCUGUGAAGGCCUUGUUUGCAUAUAUGCUAAUGAACUCCUGGCUCCUCUCUUUCCCGGCAUCAUCCAAGCAGGCCCAGGUGCUGUUGGAAGAGUCCCAAAUUCUGCAUCAAAAUUAGGGUUUUUUUGGUCUCCCACUGUGAAAUUUCCUUUGAACUUCUUCCAAGACCCUGUGACCUUUCCCAGUCCCCAACUGCACCACCUGCCAGUCAUGUCAGCUUCCCAAACCCUAUGAAUUAGAGCUGAAGAAACAUGUUUACAGACAGCCACAGUGGUGGACAUGUAAGGGUGGGAAAUUAUAACCCACCCCACCAUUCUUUUCACAUCGUUUCUGUAAGUGCUGACUCUAAUAUGUGACUUGUAGAUCAACAGCAUGUUUGCUUGAGAAUCCUAGGAACUAGUUUCAAAAGGUGCAGACCCUGACCUUCAGGCAUCCCAGCUCCGGCAGAUUUGCUGACCUUCAACCAUUGGAGACAGGAUGAUGUGCAGCCAGGAUGACGAAACCAGGAUGAUGAGCACUGGACCAUCACUUGCUCUACUGGAAUGCACUGUGCUCAUUUGCAUGCAGAGAACUUUGCAACCCCCUCCCUCGAUCUCUUUGUUCUGUUCCCCUCUCCCUCCCGCCGACUUCUGCCUCCACUGAGAUGGGGAGAUGGAAUUUGAGAUGUGAGUCCCCUGUCUUCUAGGACAUGGGCUCUGUGACGAGUCUCCAUCUUCCAGAUGGUCAGCAUCUAUAA